AGCGGCGGACGGGUGAGUAACACGUAGGCAACCUGCCCCUUGGACUGGGAUAACUACCGGAAACGGUAGCUAAUACCGGAUAAUUCCUCUUAGUUCCUGCUAAGAGGCUGAAAGGCGGAGCAAUCUGUCACCAAGGGAUGGGCCUGCGGCGCAUUAGCUAGUUGGUGGGGUAACGGCUCACCAAGGCGACGAUGCGUAGCCGACCUGAGAGGGUGAACGGCCACACUGGGACUGAGACACGGCCCAGACUCCUACGGGAGGCAGCAGUAGGGAAUCUUCCGCAAUGGGCGAAAGCCUGACGGAGCAACGCCGCGUGAGUGAUGAAGGUUUUCGGAUCGUAAAGCUCUGUUGCCAGGGAAGAACGUUCUCUAGAGUAACUGCUAGAGAAGUGACGGUACCUGAGAAGAAAGCCCCGGCUAACUACGUGCCAGCAGCCGCGGUAAUACGUAGGGGGCAAGCGUUGUCCGGAAUUAUUGGGCGUAAAGCGCGCGCAGGCGGCUGUUUAAGUCUGGUGUUUAAACCAUGGGCUCAACCUGUGGUCGCACUGGAAACUGGGCAGCUUGAGUGCAGAAGAGGAAAGUGGAAUUCCACGUGUAGCGGUGAAAUGCGUAGAGAUGUGGAGGAACACCAGUGGCGAAGCGACUUUCUGGGCUGUAACUGACGCUGAGCGCGAAAGCGUGGGGGAGCAAACAGGAUAGAUACCCUGGUAGUCCACGCCGUAAACGAUGAGUGCUAG
rnacentral:rRNA from 1 species